ACAUUAUUAUGCAGCAUGGCAGUUAAUUGCUCUGUCUUUUAUUCAUGUUGGUAAUGGACCGAAGUUUUUUUCUGAGAGUUUUUACUCAAUUCUAUAUGAUGACAUUGGAAAUGGUUUCCCAAAUAUAGACGAUAUAGAAGACCUACAUAUUCGGGAGACUCUCCACAAAUUAUCUAGAAUCACAGAGCUUUCUACUUUGCAGAGUAUACUCGAGGAUCCUUUAUUCACAGUAGCAGGCUGUGAUGUUAUAGUAAAGGACAUAGAACAUAGGAAUCAAUUACUUGAAGCCGUUACUAAUUUCUAUGCAUAUCAUAAAAUUCGUCCAGCACUAGAGCAAUUCAGGGAAGGCCUCCAGUCCGGUAUGAUUUUUGAACUUAUCAAGAGCCAUCCAACUAUAUUCAAGGAGGCAAUGUGCUGUGAAGAGUUGCUAACAGUUAACCUAUUCGACAAUCUCUUCACAAUAAAUUACAGUGAAAUCGGCAGUACAAAGCGGUCUGCAGAAAAUCGAACUAUUACUUUCUGGAGAGACUUUUUACUGGACUGUGAAGACAAUGUGACAGAUAUUACUCUUAAAACUAUAUUGAUAUUUGUAACUGGUGCAGAGACAGUGCCUCCAUUAGGAUUUAAUCAUCAGCCAAUAAUUUCAUUUUUACACGACCAGAGUUUAUAUCCAAAAGCGAACACAUGUGGGUUGCAAUUAGAUUUACCUACCGCGCAUAAUACUUAUGAAACUUUUCUUCACCAUGUUGUAUUUGGCAUCGGUAAUUGCAACAAUUUCGCAUUUGCAUAAUCUGUAUCAAGUUCUUCGUGAAUCCUCCCCAUUAUUUCUAUGUUUGCAGAAGUCCUAUAAUUUCAUUUGAAUUUCAUUACGAGUUGUAUUUUAUUUGGAAUAGAAAUUACUUUACCUUUUUCUUUAAAUCCUAAAUAUACAGUAAAUUUUUAUAGAAUUGGAAAUAAAUAAAAGUUUAAGGGUGCCUCGAUUGACACCCUGUAUGUUGCUGAAUGUAAAGCAAUAUUUAGUAGUAUAUGUGUAAAAACUUUACUGUUUUUUGUAUGCAUUUUUUUAGACUGUAACAUGUGAUAUCAAGAGUUCCUAAGUUUGUGUUCUUUAUUUUUAUAAUAUUUCUAUACAAUAUAGCAUACUGUUGUGUUUCUUUUAAACAAUGAAAUUGAUUAACUAGUAAACAAUUAAGUGAACUUAAAUUUCACUGCCAUAUUGUUAAUGGUAGGUAUUAGAAUAAAGAUGCUGCUAUAAACAUUUGCUGUUAUGUUAUAUCGUUGAUGUUAUAUGAUUAUCCUUCUGAAAAUUUUGAUUACAAGUGAUAUUUCUAAGGAAUUUUAGGUUGAGAUUCACUUUUUCCCAAAAACUUAAAUUCUACAAUUCUUACAUUCUUAACUUUACAGGUUCUCCAAAUCUUCAAAUUCCCAAAUCCUAACCUUGUCAAAUUCUCAAUUUCUCGAGUUCUCAAAUUCAUAAAUUUUGUGUGUCAAGAUGACACACAUCAAAUUUUCAAGUAUUUUUUUUUUCUCUAUGUAAAAUAUAAAAACUAAAGUAAUGGCAGUAUUUAAAGAUUCCCCGAGAUCGUUUGAUAUCAAUAAUCAUUUUGGUCCUGGGACUACAACUACAAGUAAUGGUAAUGGAAACAACGGCCAUUAUGAAAGUUUAGGUGAUACCAAUUUUAAAUGUUGUAACGUACUCACGCACAAGGGUAACCUUAUGUGAGGUUGUUGUACUUAUUUGUAUAUAAUUGUAUUGUCUUACAAAUAAACUAUACUAUACUAAAUGAACUGUAUAUGUGCUAGUGUUAUAAUUUUCUAAGCAACAAUAUUAAAAAUCGUCUUGUGUCAGUUAGAAGAAACAACGUCUGUUAAGGCGAGGCUUUCCAUAGACUACUUGAUUAUGUAAAAAAUUUCAGUUUUUUGCAAGAAUUUUAGA